UACAGAAGCCCCGAGCGUUAAUCGGAAUUACUGGGAGUAAAGCGCGCGUAGGUGGCUUGAUAAGCCGGUUGUGAAAGCCCCGGGCUCAACCUGGGAACGGCAUCCGGAACUGUCAGGCUAGAGUACAGGAGAGGAAGGUAGAAUUCCCGGUGUAGCGGUGAAAUGCGUAGAGAUCGGGAGGAAUACCAGUGGCGAAGGCGGCCUUCUGGACUGAUACUGACACUGAGGUGCGAAAGCGUGGGUAGCAAACAGG
rnacentral:misc_RNA from 1 species